rnacentral:rRNA from 1 species
UACGUAGGGUGCAAGCGUUGUCCGGAAUUAUUGGGCGUAAAGAGCUCGUAGGCGGUCUGUCGCGUCUGCUGUGAAAACUCGGGGCUUAACCCCGGGCCUGCAGUGGGUACGGGCAGACUAGAGUGCGGUAGGGGAGACUGGAAUUCCUGGUGUAGCGGUGAAAUGCGCAGAUAUCAGGAGGAAUACCGGUGGUGUAGACGGCUCUCUGGACCGCCACUGACGCUGAGACACGAAAGCGUGGGUAGCAAACAGG